rnacentral:lncRNA from 8 species
GACAUAUUUGUAUUGACAGACAGCUUGGUUGAAGACAGGGUCUAAGCAGCACUCUGCCCUCUCUGUUCUCAGGCCGAGGAGGUGAAGGAGCUGGUCAACCAAGAGGUUGUGAACCAGUGCGGGAUGAACUUGAAGUUUGUGGUGAAGUCCAAGGACCCGGAUGCUGAGAGCAUGUUGUUUGAGAGGGAUCCGGACGAGCCUAUAUCCAUCCUCACACGCAGCCUACCUGAGGAUGAGAUGGGAGAGGAGGAAGAGGACAAGAAAAUACUUGAAAAGGAGCUGGUAGGAUCAACCACUCCUCCCCCCAUCCCCCUGCGAGAGGAGGGGACCCCAGGUGAUGACAACCUUACCGACUCUGGAGCCAACAGGGGAGCGGAUUGGGGACUGAGGCACAGGAGAAGAAGGGUUCCGGGAGUU